UACGGAGGGUGCAAACGUUGCUCGGAAUCAUUGGGCGUAAAGCGCACGUAGGCGGUCUUUUAAGUCGGAUGUGAAAGCCCCAGGCUCAACCUGGGAAGUGCAUUCGAAACUGAAAGGCUGGAGUACGGAAGAGGGUCUCGGAAUUCCCGGUGUAGAGGUGAAAUUCGUAGAUAUCGGGAGGAACACCAGUGGCGAAGGCGGAGACCUGGGCCGAUACUGACGCUGAGGUGCGAAAGCGUGGGGAG
rnacentral:rRNA from 1 species